rnacentral:lncRNA from 1 species
AGUCAAUGAACGCAGUGUGCAGCCGACUAGAUCGCCCAGGCUUUCUUGUGCUUGCAGCAUGCUGUAGGCGCCUUAAAAUGUAGAUGGGCUGGAGGGUGUUCCUUCCAGGGUAGAAGCCAAAUUGUGUGUCUGGAAUCUUGUUUGAGGCUACGCACCAGUCCGUGACAAGAGAACGAAUCACAUUAGCAUUCAAGCAGUACAUUGUUCCACUGACAGCCAACAUGCGAUAG